UACGAAGGGGGCUAGCGUUGUUCGGAUUUACUGGGCGUAAAGCGCACGUAGGCGGAUCGAUCAGUCAGGGGUGAAAUCCCAGAGCUCAACUCUGGAACUGCCUUUGAUACUGUCGAUCUGGAGUAUGGAAGAGGUGAGUGGAAUUCCCAGUGUAGAGGUGAAAUUCGUAGAUAUUGGGAAGAACACCGGUGGCGAAGGCGGCGCUCUGGACCGAGACUGACGCUGAGGCGCGAAAGCGUGGGUAGCAAACAGG
rnacentral:rRNA from 1 species